rnacentral:rRNA from 1 species
AGUGGCGAACGGGUGAGUAACACGUGGGUGAUCUGCCCUGCACUUUGGGAUAAGCCUGGGAAACUGGGUCUAAUACCGAAUAUUUCCUUUUGGUCGCAUGGCUGGGAGGGGAAAGCUUUUGCGGUGUGGGAUGGGCCCGCGGCCUAUCAGCUUGUUGGUGAGGUUAUGGCUUACCAAGGCGACGACGGGUAGCCGGACUGAGAGGGUGACCGGCCACACUGGGACUGAGAUACGGCCCAGACUCCUACGGGAGGCAGCAGUGGGGAAUAUUGCACAAUGGGCGCAAGCCUGAUGCAGCGACGCCGCGUGGGGGAUGACGGCCUUCGGGUUGUAAACCUCUUUCAAUAGGGACGAAGCGCAAGUGACGGUACCUAUAGAAGAAGGACCGGCCAACUACGUGCCAGCAGCCGCGGUAAUACGUAGGGUCCGAGCGUUGUCCGGAAUUACUGGGCGUAAAGAGCUCGUAGGUGGUGUGUCGCGUCGUCCGUGAAAACUCACAGCUUAACUGUGGGCGUGCGGGCGAUACGGGCAGACUCGAGUACUGCAGGGGAGACUGGAAUUCCUGGUGUAGCGGUGGAAUGCGCAGAUAUCAGGAGGAACACCGGUGGCGAAGGCGGGUCUCUGGGCAGUAACUGACGCUGAGGAGCGAAAGCGUGGGGAGCGAACAGGAUUAGAUACCCUGGUAGUCCACGCCGUAAACGGUGGGUACUAGGUGUGGGUUUCCUUCCUU